rnacentral:rRNA from 1 species
UACGUAGGGUGCGAGCGUUAAUCGGAAUUACUGGGCGUAAAGCGUGCGUAGGCGGUUCGUUGUGUCUGUGGUGAAAGCCCCGGGCUUAACCUGGGAAUGGCCAUGGAAACUGGCGAGCUGGAGUGUGGCAGAGGGGGGGUGGGAAUUCCGCGUGUAGCAGUGAAAUGCGUAGAGAUGCGGAGGAACACCGAUGGCGAAGGCAGCCCCCUGGGGCUAACACUGACGCUGAGGCACGAAAGCGUGGGGAGCAAACAGG